UUGUUUUGAUAAAGAAGAGGAAAAGCCAAUCCUGCCGAAGAAGACGCUGGAAAACCACGUGACGUCAUUGCCCAUUCCUGCAACGCCAUAGGUGAUGCAACACCAGAAGACCUCCGUCAUCGACCCCAAUUCUCUCCUCUUCAUCUCUCCGAUUUUCUUCUUCCCUCUCUUCGUCCGCCAUUUUCCUCCCACGCAUCACGCACUAUCGGUCGCCACUUCUUCCCACCUUAACUGACCUCCUCCUCCUCCUCUUCCUCCUCCUUCUCCUCUUCUUCUUCUUCUCCACUUCUUCGUCGUCGAUUGAUUUGCAACAUUUGCAACGAUGGCUGCUCACCAACUCGUUGCAACUUUGAUCUUCCGUCUGCUGUUGCCUCUCGUCCUGGGAAUAUGUGAGUACGAUUCGAUCUCAUUCGUGAUCCUGUUUUAGAGGAUCGAAUUCCUUAUAGUUGAUUCUCUCUUUUUUUUUCUUUUUUUUUAAAUUUAAAUACAUCAUCUUCGGUUUUUGUGAUACCUUCAUAACUUCAUAGUUUAGUAGAAUACCUGUACAUCUAAGAAAUACGUGUAUUUCUGUUACAAACUGCACAAACAGCUCGUCCAAAACAACUAAACAUUUAUGAGGGAAAAAUGCACGAAGUUCCAGAGGUCUGGCGAAUCUGCUUUGGUAUUGAUCCUCUUACCUGCCUUCGGCCAUGUCACUUAUACUUCCCACAAUCGGUCAUGUCACUUAUACGAAGUCAAUACCAGUAUUAGACAUGAACAAACUUGUAUUUCAUAUCAAUUUCCUAUUACAUUUAAGUUCUUUCAUUUCUUUAAUUAGAUGAACAAUAAAUCAAAUUAUUGUUAGAAAUUAAGAGGGGAAAUAAUGAUAGAAACAGAAGUUUAAUUAGAUUUUGUAUCAUAGUUAAAAUGUUUUCUAAUUAAAAGUACAUUAAAAAGAUUAUUACUAUAAUUUUUUAACUAUUAUUUUUUCAAGGUUGUCUUUUCUAUCCGUUAUUCCCGUGUUUGUUUAAAUCCUCAUUCCAUUUUCUUUCGUUUCU
rnacentral:lncRNA from 1 species